rnacentral:rRNA from 1 species
UUGAUUUGUCGCAGCUGCGUAGUACCGUGCUAGUCGACGAUGACGGUGGUGCUUGCACCACCUGAUUAGUGGCGAACGGGUGAGUAACACGUGAGUAACCUGCCCCCCACUUCCGGAUAACCUCGGGAAAUCCUGGCUAAUACCGGAUAUGAACACUCCUCCCAUGGGGGGUGCUGGAAAGAUUUAUCGGUGGGGGAUGGACUCCCGGCCUAUCAGUUUGUUGGUGAGGUGAUGGCUCCCCAAGACGAUGACGGGUAGCCGGCCUGAAAGGGCGACCGGCCCCCCUGGGACUGAAACCCGGCCCCAACUCCUACGGGAGGGAGCAGUGGGGAAUAUUGGCCAAUGGGCGAAAGCCUGAUGCAGCGACCCCCCGUGGGGGAUGACGGCCUUCGGGUUGUAAACCCCUUUCCGUAAGGAAAAAACGAAAAUGACGGUACCUGCAAAAAAAGCGCCGGCUUACUACCUGCCAGCAACCGCGGUAAUACCUAAGGCGCAGCGGUGUCCGGAAUUAUUGGGCGUAAGAGCUUGUAAGUGGCUUG